GUCAGGCCCCCACCUGGCUGGGACAGCCGGGAAUCCCAACACCCCCGCCCCUAGGAAAUGGAAACUGGACUCUUUUAAAAUGAAAAUCCAGUGUGUGGCUUUGAGUAACAGGAGAGUUUUCUGUCAUCUGCAAUGGAUAGAAUUUCUCAAACCCAGACAAGCUCAGAGCCCCACCGUGGCCUCCCACCCUCUGGAUGAGAGGUGCCAAGAUCCCUCCAGAGGCUACACUGAGGCUGGAGGGAAGAGGGAGGGCGUGACAAGCCAGUCUCAGUGGGGGCUUGAGUCUUUCCUGGAGAGAGGUAAGUGGCCUCUUCCACAAGACCCCUGGGUCCACACAGGAGGGAGGUUAAUUUGCACCUGACACGGAGCCGGAGCCAAAGCUUCCUCUCCUAUCCCAGGAGCCACACAUGGCCAGGAAUUCGGAAUCCCCAAGAGGGAGCUCUCCCCAGGGGAAGAAGCGGUGGGCGUGAGGGGCCCCUGCAGGGUGGAGGGACAGAAGGACCGGCCCAGGUUUCUCUCACCUGGAAACCUCCCCUAGGUGGAGGGCUGCGUGGCUGGCUUUGCUUGGUUUUAUUGAAGUUACACACAUAGGAAGAGGCUGGAGCACACAGGCACAGCUCAGGGCAGACCCACAAAACCAGGGGCAAGAGACAGGAGGGGCUGAGCUGCUGGCGGGGGCGGGGUCUCAGAGGUGAGGCGGGGUCUCGGAGGCGGGGCGGGCAUCUCAAAGGUGGGGUUGGGGGGUGUCUCAGAGGUGAGGCGGG
rnacentral:lncRNA from 1 species